rnacentral:tRNA from 2 species
GGCCAGGUAGCUCAGUUGGUAGAGCAGGGGACUGAAAAUCCCCGUGUCGGCGGUUCGACUCCGUCCCUGGCCACCA